GGUCUGGUGGUGUAGUGGUAACACAUCCUGCUGGCAAGAUGCGGUGUUUCUAGGUUUUCUGGUUCCACUGGCCAUCUCCGGAUGGUCACUCUUGAGUGCUCGGUGUAACAGGAAGAUCAGAGGUUCGAAUCCUCUCCAGACCA